rnacentral:tRNA from 1 species
ACACCGUAAUGCAAAGCGCCGCGCGCGCCGGUUUUCAACCGGCUCCUAGCGGGUUCGAGUCCCGCACGGUGUACCA